UUUUGAAUUGCAUUUCUCUGGUGAUUAGUGCAGUUCAGCACCUUUUCAGAUUCCUGUUGGCCAUUUGUGGAGUCUCACUCUGUAGCCCAAGCUGGAGUGGCGUGAUCUCGACUCACUGCAACCUCCGCCUCCUGGGAUCAAGUGAUUCUCGUGCCUCAGCCUCCUGAGUAGCCGGGACUACAGGUCACAGAAUUUUCCACACUCCUUGACAGAGGUGCUUAACCCUUAUCCAUCAGCAUUCUCAGACAGCACCUCCGGUUAGGGACAGUAUCUGACCGUCCGACAUCCCUGCAGCCCCCAUGUGUCACACAGACUCAGCCUCAGGUAGAUGGUUUCCGUAGAUGGUGGCUUUCUUUGGACCCUUGACAUCAACCAGUUACUAUUUGGGCCACACAUAACAAAUAGAAGCAGAGCAAGCCCUGGAACUCCUGCCUGACAGUGACACGACGACAGAAACAUCUUACCAGUCAGAGGACCAUGAGAAAUAGAUUCAAGGAGCAUUCCACGUGCAAGUGAGUCUUGGCCCCAUCUGCCUUUGGAUUUUAGCCGUGAACUGGAAGGUAUUGGAAAGAAGACCCUCAGAAAUAGCUUAAUCAAAAUCCCUGCGUCUGAACCAAGUGCCUUAUUUCUCUGUGGGCCUCAAGCUUCGCUGACAUCUGUGGAGCACACUGUCCUAACAGGAGUGCUGUCUGAUUUCCCAACGCUCUGCAAAACAAACAGCCUGGAAGGGUGGCUGGUGGAAGGUGGUUUUUAGAGAGAGACUUGUAGAUAACAGGAAAGUGAAGGCUGUAAGGAAGGUUGUAAUUAAACAGCACAUGGAAACACAAUCACAUUAUUGUCCCAUUCCAUAGGGAUAAUGAUGACCACUUCAGUGGGAAAAGGAGAGGUUUUAAGUCAUUAGGGACUAUGGGCCACCUUUUAGGAAGAUUUAUUUUCAAAGGUUAAAAUAGUGUUUUGGCAAUUCAAGUUUCAUUUUCAGAAAAUGUAAUUGAUGGGAACCUCAGUGACUCUGGAUGAAUAAGAUGCUGUUGAGUGGCUCUGACUUGGGCCAGCCGUGCUUCUCACAGGACCUUGGAGACCAAGGUCACUGUGAUCUCAGGUUCAGGGGGCAAGUCCUCUCCACACAGCCCUAGUUGGCCUCACAGCUGAAAAUGUCUCCCUUACUGUUGGACUCCUUUGUUCACCCACAUGAGUUUGUGAAUAAAUCCUUUCCAGUCUGAAAGCUUGCUGACACUUGGAGACAGGUGUGGAGAGAGGACUCUGAGCUGGACACUUCCUGGGGAUGGCAGGCCUGGUGGGAUGGCCUAAGUAGCCAUGGGACAGGACACAGCAACUCAGAUGUGGGCUAGGGGUGCAGUUUGUGGAGCAGUGGCGGAGGGGUAGGCAGGUGUGGGCUUGAGGACAAAUUCUGCCCUCUUCGCUACGUGGCCUGAGCCAGGGCAGCCCACUUGCCGAGGCAGGGCCGGGUCUCUGUUUCUUUGGUAGCCUGAUUCCUCCCCACUCCCUGGCCACGUGGUCCCCAGAUCUGCUUCUGUGAAUCACCCUGAGUGACUGCAGGGGUGCUUCAAUCAGUGAGGGGAUCUCAAAGAAAAGCCAGGUAUUUCUUAGACAAGGAUUCUUAGAUAAGGUUGAUUUAUUCCUCACCGUCUGAGAAAGCAACAGUCUAGUAGAAGGCAGUGGGGCCCAGGG
rnacentral:lncRNA from 1 species